GGAUGGAUCAUUGUCGG
rnacentral:rRNA from 1 species